rnacentral:tRNA from 1 species
UAUAUUUUGGUGUAUGGAGCAUAAAAGACUUUGAUUCUUUUGGAGAUAGUUUAAUUCUAUUAAAUAUAA